rnacentral:rRNA from 1 species
AUUGAACGCUGGCGGCAGGCCUAACACAUGCAAGUCGAGCGGUAGCACAGAGAGCUUGCUCUCGGGUGACGAGCGGCGGACGGGUGAGUAAUGUCUGGGAAACUGCCUGAUGGAGGGGGAUAACUACUGGAAACGGUAGCUAAUACCGCAUAAUGUCGCAAGACCAAAGUGGGGGACCUUCGGGCCUCAUGCCAUCAGAUGUGCCCAGAUGGGAUUAGCUAGUAGGUGGGGUAACGGCUCACCUAGGCGACGAUCCCUAGCUGGUCUGAGAGGAUGACCAGCCACACUGGAACUGAGACACGGUCCAGACUCCUACGGGAGGCAGCAGUGGGGAAUAUUGCACAAUGGGCGCAAGCCUGAUGCAGCCAUGCCGCGUGUGUGAAGAAGGCCUUCGGGUUGUAAAGCACUUUCAGCGGGGAGGAAGGCGUUAAGGUUAAUAACCUUGGCGAUUGACGUUACCCGCAGAAGAAGCACCGGCUAACUCCGUGCCAGCAGCCGCGGUAAUACGGAGGGUGCAAGCGUUAAUCGGAAUUACUGGGCGUAAAGCGCACGCAGGCGGUCUGUCAAGUCGGAUGUGAAAUCCCCGGGCUCAACCUGGGAACUGCAUUCGAAACUGGCAGGCUAGAGUCUUGUAGAGGGGGGUAGAAUUCCAGGUGUAGCGGUGAAAUGCGUAGAGAUCUGGAGGAAUACCGGUGGCGAAGGCGGCCCCCUGGACAAAGACUGACGCUCAGGUGCGAAAGCGUGGGGAGCAAACAGGAUUAGAUACCCUGGUAGUCCACGCCGUAAACGAUGUCGAUUUGGAGGUUGUGCCCUUGAGGCGUGGCUUCCGGAGCUAACGCGUUAAAUCGACCGCCUGGGGAGUACGGCCGCAAGGUUAAAACUCAAAUGAAUUGACGGGGGCCCGCACAAGCGGUGGAGCAUGUGGUUUAAUUCGAUGCAACGCGAAGAACCUUACCUGGUCUUGACAUCCACAGAACUUUCCAGAGAUGGAUUGGUGCCUUCGGGAACUGUGAGACAGGUGCUGCAUGGCUGUCGUCAGCUCGUGUUGUGAAAUGUUGGGUUAAGUCCCGCAACGAGCGCAACCCUUAUCCUUUGUUGCCAGCGGUUAGGCCGGGAACUCAAAGGAGACUGCCAGUGAUAAACUGGAGGAAGAUGGGGAUGACGUCAAGUCAUCAUGGCCCUUACGACCAGGGCUACACACGUGCUACAAUGGCAUAUACAAAGAGAAGCGACCUCGCGAGAGCAAGCGGACCUCAUAAAGUAUGUCGUAGUCCGGAUUGGAGUCUGCAACUCGACUCCAUGAAGUCGGAAUCGCUAGUAAUCGUAGAUCAGAAUGCUACGGUGAAUACGUUCCCGGGCCUUGUACACACCGCCCGUCACACCAUGGGAGUGGGUUGCAAAAGAAGUAGGUAGCUUAACCUUCGGGAGGGCGCUUACCACUUUGUGAUUCAUGACUGGGGUGAAGUCAUA